rnacentral:lncRNA from 1 species
GGAAGAACCACAUGCCCUGGUUCCCUUGCCCCGUGACUAGUUGGGUGCAGAGGUCAGCCCCAGUGCUGAGGGCACCAAUGGCUGCACCAAGCUGGGUGUACAUCUGGCUGCUCCAAGACGGACAAACAUCUGGUUGCACUCAGAUGGGCACAUAUCUGGCUGCACUGACCUGUGUACUUCAGCUGCUGCUCUUGGAGGCUAUGUGUCUCCUGCAUCAAAUUUUCAGCUUCACUGGAAUGCCUUCAAAAACCUGGGGUGCUAAAUAUUAUGGUAGCUGUCUG